rnacentral:rRNA from 1 species
AUUGAACGCUGGCGGCAUGCUUUACACAUGCAAGUCGAACGGUAACAGGCCGCAAGGUGCUGACGAGUGGCGAACGGGUGAGUAAUGCAUCGGAACGUGCCCAGUCGUGGGGGAUAACGCAGCGAAAGCUGCGCUAAUACCGCAUACGAUCUAUGGAUGAAAGCGGGGGACCGUAAGGCCUCGCGCGAUUGGAGCGGCCGAUGUCAGAUUAGGUAGUUGGUGGGGUAAAGGCUCACCAAGCCAACGAUCUGUAUCUGGUCUGAGAGGACGACCAGCCACACUGGGACUGAGACACGGCCCAGACUCCUGCGGGAGGCAGCAGUGGGGAAUUUUGGAAAAUGGGCGCAAGCCUGAUCCAGCAAUGCCGCGUGCAGGAAGAAGGCCUUCGGGUUGUAAACUGCUUUUGUACGGAACGAAAAGGCUCUGGUUAAUACCUGGGGCUCAUGACGGUACCGUAAGAAUAAGCACCGGCUAACUACGUGCCAGCAGCCGCCGUAACAC